UUUUGGAAUCUUAAUUGCAAGCUACAGGCGUGCCCGUUGAUCCAGUUGUUGCACCAUCAAACCCAUUACAUAGGCAGCAGGUUGUGGAUUCACUUAGUAGUCAUCCCACUGUUCGGCCAAUGUCACAUCAACAACAAUCUCAUGCAUUUUCAUCCCAAGAGGUUCACCUUUCAAAGAAAGAGAAGAAGAAGAAGAAGAAGAAGAAGAAGAAG